rnacentral:lncRNA from 1 species
GAAUUUUAAACUAAAUUGACUGUCACAGUCUUGGUGAUAACAUUUUAUUUUUAUUUUUAUUAAUAAAACAACAUUACAAAAACAAACACGAAUAUUAAAAUCACUCCAAAUUUAAAAAACUUAUAUGAGGCGAUUGCAUAGAUCCGUCGGCAAACCAUUUGUACGUGUCACCAAACAGUUAGAAGAAACAUGAAAACAGACAGAGCCCUCUCCCUCUCAAAUAUAACUAACUGAACCUCUCCCUUCAAAUAUAACUAUACUGAACCCUCUCCCUCUUCAAUAUAACAUGACUGAACCCCUCACUCUCAAAUAUAACUUGACUGACCCUCUCCUCUCAAAUAUAACUAUGACUGAGCCCUCUCCCCUUCAAAUAUAACUAUGACUGAACCCUCUCACUCUUCAAAUAUAACUAUGACUGAGCCCUCUCCCUCUUCAAAUAUAACUAUGACUGAACCCUCUCACUCUUCAAAUAUAACUAUGACUGAACCCGUCACUCUUCAAAUAUAACUAUGAACUGAGCCCUCCAACUUCAAAUAUAACUAAUGACAGCCCUCUCACUCUUCAAAUAUAACUUACCGGCAUUCUACAAUGUGCAUAAGGUAUGUUAAAUCUUAUGUCGUUCACUUGGUUAUAAACUCUCACUGAAAUAUGACUAGUUCCAUCCACGUCGCUCAGGGGAACGUUAUUAUAAAUAUACACUGAGUGGCAAAACAUAAGAACAGCUGCCUUUCCGUGACAUAGACGACCAGGUGAAUCCAGGUGAAAGAUAUGAUCCCUUAUUGAUGUCACUUGUUAAAUCCACAUAAAUCAGUGUAGAUGAAGGAGAGGAGACAGGGUAAAGAAGGAUUUAAGCCUUGAGACAAUUGAAACAUGGAUUGUGUAUGUGUGCCAUUCAGAGGUAAACGGGCAAGAC